rnacentral:rRNA from 1 species
ACCCGCUGAACUUAAGCAUAUCAAUAAGCGGAGGAAAAGAAACCAACAGGGAUUGUCCUAGUAACGGCGAGUGAAGCGGCAACAGCUCAAAUUUGAAAGCUAGCCUUCGGGUUCGCAUUGUAAUUUGUAGAGGACGAUUUGGGGAAGCCGCCUGUCUAAGUUCCUUGGAACAGGACGUCAUAGAGGGUGAGAAUCCCGUAUGUGACAGGAAAUGGCACCCUAUGUAAAUCUCCUUCGACGAGUCGAGUUGUUUGGGAAUGCAGCUCUAAAUGGGAGGUAAAUUUCUUCUAAAGCUAAAUAUUGGCGAGAGACCGAUAGCGCACAAGUAGAGUGAUCGAAAGAUGAAAAGCACUUUGGAAAGAGAGUUAAAAAGCACGUGAAAUUGUUGAAAGGGAAGCGCUUGCAAUCAGACUUGUUUAAACUGUUCGGCCGGUCUUCUGACCGGUUUACUCAGUUUGGACAGGCCAGCAUCAGUUUCGGCGGCCGGAUAAAGGCUCUGGGAAUGUGGCCUCCACUUCGGUGGAGGUGUUAUAGCCCAGGGUGUAAUACGGCCGGCCGGGACUGAGGUCCGCGCUUCGGCUAGGAUGCUGGCGUAAUGGUUGUAAGCGACCCGUCUUGAAACACGGACC